CAGAAACUCAUGUAACAUCUGGGCAGACACUUGGAUAUCACAGGGCAAAGGAUAAUGCAUUUGCUCCUGGAAUCCUGAAUUGUCAGAAAGAUGUCAAGACGCAGAGAUAGUACAUAUGUCAGCAGAGGGAUGUUUCGCAGAAUCGGCAGAAAGAACAGAAGGUGCAAGUCUGGAGCAGAUAUGCCAAUAAAAAAGAGGAAAGGAUAUGUACGUGUCUGUGCAACAUACUAUUACUGGAAAGGAAGGAGAUAAUUUUCAGUGAUUAUCUUUCCACUGCUUACAAAUACCAUCUAUGUGGCCAGUGAAUCAUCACCAGGCUUCUAUGAUGUGGAAAAUCCAUCAAAUAAGGCAUCAAUGAGCUGUGGGAAGACUGCACGAUUCAGGAUUUCUCCUACCACAGGAGCAAUGCAAGCCCUGCUUGUCUGUCAAUAAAGUCAUAAAACAAGCA